AACAGGCUAGAAGGCAUAGCCGGGAAGGAGAGGACUGUAUUCCUCCUUCACAUUGGCCAUCGGAUUUCCCAAGUUAUGAACCCGUUGUUUAUAAAUACUAUCUAGCAACAUCCCAAGCCAUCGCUGCUUACCACCUCUGAAUAUCAUCAACGGCUCACCGACGCUCUCUAUUGACCAUAAUAUUACGGGUCAUAUACCAAAGGGAAUAGUAAAUAGCGGCGGAAGACUGCCACAGGUCGGGCAGAAUAAGAGCAAGUGAAUGGCUUUUGCAAAUAGCCUUCGCAGUCAAACGCUUGCCAUACGCAGGGAC
rnacentral:sRNA from 2 species